UUUCAACAACUCAUAUCUCCCAAUUGAACUAUUCAAAUAUACUCAAAUUUUACAUGAAGUACUAAUAUACUUUUAAAAACUAUUGUAAUAAAUUUCAGCUACAAAUUCAUUGCAGAUCUUAAGAUAUUGCCAAAACUCUAACAAUUGCUUCAAAUCCUAGUUUUUAUACCCCUACAUGCAAUUUUCUUUAUAUCUCACAAAUUAAGUAUUCAAAUACUACAAAAUUUAUAUAUAUAGCUUUUUAAUAUAAAAAUAUACUUUCUUUAAAAGUUUUGAGUCAAAAAUUUAUCAAAAAAUUGAAGAUAUGGUUCCAACUAUUAUUAUAAAUAAAAUCACUCCCUUAUUACCUUUGAUUUGGAUGUACUGACUUCAAUUCUCUAUAACUUCUUUAUUCAAAUUCCAAAUUCAUCAAAAAACAUAUAAAAAUU
rnacentral:lncRNA from 1 species